GGACCUAUAGUUUCAGCGGUUAAAAUACUCGCCUGUCACGCGAGAGUCACGGAUUCGAAUUCCGUUAGGUCCGCCA
rnacentral:tRNA from 7 species